AACGAACGCUGGCGGCAGGCCUAACACAUGCAAGUCGAACGCUCUAGCAAUAGGGAGUGGCGCACGGGUGAGUAACGCGUAGGAAUCUACCCAUUAGCCUGGGAUAACAGCGGGAAACUGCUGCUAAUACCGGAUACGCUCCUUCGGGAGGAAAGGUUUACUACUAAUGGAUGAGCCUGCGUUAGAUUAGCUAGUUGGUGAGGUAAUGGCUCACCAAGGCUCCGAUCUAUAGCCGGUCUGAGAGGACGAUCGGCCACACUGGGACUGAGACACGGCCCAGACUCCUACGGGAGGCAGCAGUGGGGAAUAUUGGGCAAUGGGCGCAAGCCUGACCCAGCCAUGCCGCGUGAGUGAUGAAGGCCUUAGGGUUGUAAAGCUCUUUUAGUAGUGAAGAUGAUGACAGUAGCUACAGAAAAAGCCCCGGCUAACUUCGUGCCAGCCGCCGCAGUAACAC
rnacentral:rRNA from 1 species